AUGAGUGCAGGACGUGGACGACGACAUGUGGGUAUCUUCUCUGGCCUGCAGCUGACUUUGUCUGGCCCAAGACAAGUGAGGCCUGGAGAGUCCUUCCAACUGACCUGUGGUGUCGUCGGCAACCCAAUCAGUGAUCACUACUGGAACUUUCUCCGGCAGCUUCCAGGGAAAGCUCCGGAAUGGGUAGGUUUCAUUCGGGAUACUAAACAAAAAGGAACCACCCAGUACAAUUCUACUUACAGUGGUCGAAUCAACAUCUCUAGGGACAUCUCCAGAAAUCAAGUGCACCUCCAGUUGACGUCUGUGUCUACUGGAGACACUGCAGUCUAUUACUGUGCAAGAGAAGGUAUCCCCGAUGACUCACAAUGCUGCAAACCAUGA